UACCUCCCUGAAUCUGCUGUAUCUCAUCUGAUCUUGGUAGCUAAGCAAGGUUGGGUCUGGUCAGUACUUGGAUAGGAAAACCAUCAGAAUUCAAAGC
rnacentral:rRNA from 1 species